rnacentral:rRNA from 1 species
UACAGAGGGUGCAAGCGUUAAUCGGAAUUACUGGGCGUAAAGCGUGCGUAGACGGUUACAUAAGUCGGGUGUGAAAGCCCCGGGCUCAACCUGGGAAUUGCAUUCGAGACUGCGUAGCUAGGGUGCGGAAGAGGGAAGCGGAAUUUCCGGUGUAGCGGUGAAAUGCGUAGAUAUCGUGAGGAACACCAGAGGCGAAGGCGGCUACCUGGACAAUUGCUGACGCUCAGGCACGAAAGCGUGGGAGCAAACAGGG